AGUUUCAUUAGCUUGAGAGAGAGGAGGAGAAACUCAGAAGAGCUGAGCGGCGCAUAUACAUUCAAUCCUCUCCCUCAUUUUCAAGAGAGUCAAUGAAAAUAUAGAUAGUUUAUCAUCUAAUAGAGAGAGUUGCAUAUGUUUUAGACACUCAACCUACCAAGGAAUCAAACUAUCAUUUAAACUCGCACAACAACAUUGUUUCUGUUUCCGAACUCAACCGCACCACCAACGAUAUUGAAUCUGCAUCUCACGCUGUCAACCUCUCUUCAACGGUUUCAGUUUUGCUCAGUUUCAUAUUAAUCUUGCUAGGGGCUUCUGUUGAGCUAAGGUGGUGAUAUUUAUUUGGGUCAAUUCAUAUUGGGUUAGUGUUUGUAAUGAUGCGCGUAUUUCGGUUAUCUAUUACAGUCUGAUUAUUCCAUGUUUGCGCUGGAUUUUGAUGCUAUAAUAAUGAUGGUGUGACACCUAUGCAAUGUUGAGAAUAGUUUGACUUGCAUGUAAAUUACAAUCACUCUCUUGUGUUAACACCAUCUUAAAUUUAUAACAUGCUUAUAUAUUGGUAUGCUUAGACUUUACGUUUAACAGUUUUGUUAUGAAUCUUCAUAAGCCGUCAUUUUUCAUGCUAAGAAAAUAGUACACUCACUUUUUCUGCUAGAAACCUCCUUUGAGUUUAAUAUUAGUCAUGGCAUGAGAAAAUGUUAUUGAUUUAAGUUAUUUAGGACUUGUUUGGUUUGAGAUAAUGUUUCUUGUGUUUACCAAUAAUUACAAGUUUCUACAAAAUUAUUACUUCAUUGUUUUCAAAAAUAAUUAAAAGGUUUUCAUUGUUUCAUAUACAAACACCAGUAUUUGAAAUAGGGAGUGCAAUGAAAAUAAGGUGGUUACUUUUGUAAGUGUUAAUGAAAACUAGAAAUGAACAUAAGGAAUUUUAACUGUAAUAAAAUAUGCUAAAGUUAGCCAUGAAUAGUCUAAUAAGUAAACUCACAUGUUAUAGUUGGGGCCAAUUGCAUUAUGUUGUUUUUCUUUUUGACUGAAAAAGUAUUUUAUGAGAAUAUUUUAUGAGAUCUUUCAAUGUGGGAUGUUGGCUACUUAGGACUCGUUGUAGUGUCUUUUCACCUUGAAAAGUAUUGAGUAAAAUUAUUAGGAUGUAAA